AACGAACGCUGGCGGCAUGCCUAACACAUGCAAGUCGAACGAUCCCUUCGGGGAUAGUGGCGCACGGGUGCGUAACGCGUGGGAACCUGCCCUUAGGUUCGGAAUAACAGUUAGAAAUGACUGCUAAUACCGGAUAAUGUCUUCGGACCAAAGAUUUAUCGCCUUUGGAUGGGCCCGCGUUGGAUUAGCUAGUUGGUGGGGUAAAGGCUCACCAAGGCGACGAUCCAUAGCUGGUCUUAGAGGAUGAUCAGCCACACUGGGACUGAGACACGGCCCAGACUCCUACGGGAGGCAGCAGUGGGGAAUAUUGGACAAUGGGCGAAAGCCUGAUCCAGCAAUGCCGCGUGAGUGAUGAAGGCCUUAGGGUUGUAAAGCUCUUUUACCCGGGAUGAUAAUGACAGUACCGGGAGAAUAAGCCCCGGCUAACUCCGUGCCAGCAGCCGCAGUAA
rnacentral:rRNA from 1 species